rnacentral:rRNA from 1 species
AAACCUGAGAAACCCAAAAGAUCGAAUGGGGAGAUUCAUCGUCAGCGUUACUGGUACGUGUGCGGUUCGCGAUGCCCGGGACUUCGGUUCCGUGGUACGCGUCCGCAUGUUUUUAUUGCCUGGUAACGUCGGCGUGCACUUCUCCCCUAGUAGGACGUCGCGACCCGUUGGGUGUCGGUCUACGGCCCGGGUGGUUGCCUGUCUCGUGUGGCGCUUCACGGCGUCACGCGGGGCAGACCCCCGGUUGCCUGACCGGCUGCCCGGCGGUAUUCGCAAGGUAUCCGGCCGCAAAAAUUCGAACUGCGUCCGGCUCGUCGCAAGCGAGGCAAGUGUUUCCCGAAUGUACGGAUCUAACGCCGUCGUCGGGCCUGGCCAGCUGUUGGUUGACGGUGUCCUAGGACUGGCUGUAAGAUACCGGUCAGCGACGCUACUGCUUUGGGUACUUUCAGGACCCGUCUUGAAACACGGACCAAGGAGUCUAACAUGUGCGCGAGUCAUUGGGAAUUAUUAAGCCUAAAGGCGCAAUGAAAGUGAAGGUCGGCCUUGCGCCGACCGAGGGAGGAUGGGCCGCUCUACGAGUCGGUCCCGCACUCCCGGGACGUCUCGUUCUCAU